AUUGAACGCUGGCGGCAUGCCUUACACAUGCAAGUCGAACGGCAGCACGGGAGCAAUCCUGGUGGCGAGUGGCGAACGGGUGAGUAAAGUAUCGGAACGUGCCCAGUCGUGGGGGAUAACGUAGCGAAAGUUACGCUAAUACCGCAUACGAUCUAUGGAUGAAAGCGGGGGAUCGCAAGACCUCGCGCGAUUGGAGCGGCCGAUAUCAGAUUAGGUAGUUGGUGGGGUAAAGGCUCACCAAGCCGACGAUCUGUAGCUGGUCUGAGAGGACGACCAGCCACACUGGGACUGAGACACGGCCCAGACUCCUACGGGAGGCAGCAGUGGGGAAUUUUGGACAAUGGGCGAAAGCCUGAUCCAGCCAUGCCGCGUGCAGGAUGAAGGCCUUCGGGUUGUAAACUGCUUUUGUACGGAACGAAAAGGUUUGGCCUAAUAAGCUGAGCUCAUGACGGUACCGUAAGAAUAAGCACCGGCUAACUACGUGCCAGCAGCCGCCGCAG
rnacentral:rRNA from 1 species